AACGAACGCUGGCGGCAGGCCUAACACAUGCAAGUCGAGCGCGCCCUUCGGGGUGAGCGGCGGACGGGUUAGUAACGCGUGGGAAUAUACCCUUUGGUACGGAAUAGCCUCUGGAAAACGGAGAGUAAUACCGUAUGAGCCCCUUCGGGGGAAAGAUUUAUCGCCAAAAGGAUUAGCCCGCGUUAGAUUAGGUAGUUGGU
rnacentral:rRNA from 1 species